rnacentral:rRNA from 1 species
UACGGAGGGGACUAGCGUUGUUCGGAAUUACUGGGCGUAAAGCGCACGUAGGCGGAUUUGUAAGUCAGGGGUGAAAUCCCGAGGCUCAACCUCGGAACUGCCUUUGAUACUGCAAAUCUCGAGUCCGGAAGAGGUGAGUGGAAUUCCUAGUGUAGAGGUGAAAUUCGUAGAUAUUAGGAAGAACACCAGUGGCGAAGGCGGCUCACUGGUCCGGUACUGACGCUGAGGUGCGAAAGCGUGGGAGCAACAGG